rnacentral:rRNA from 1 species
AACUAACGCUGGCGGCGUGCCUAACACAUGCAAGUCGUACGAGAAAGCCGGCUUCGGCUGGUGAGUAAAGUGGCGCACGGGUGAGUAAUGCGUGGAUAAUCUGCCCUUUAGUUGGGAAUAACGUACCGAAAGGUGCGCUAAUACCUGAUAAUACUGCAUAACUACUGUUGUGUAGUCAAAGAAGGCCUCUGUUUACAAGCUUUUGCUGAAGGAUGAGUCCGCGUACCAUUAGCUGGUUGGUGGGGUAAUGGCCUACCAAGGCUACGAUGGUUAGCUGGUCUGAGAGGAUGAUCAGCCACACUGGAACUGAGACACGGUCCAGACUCCUACGGGAGGCAGCAGUGAGGAAUAUUGCGCAAUGGGGGCAACCCUGACGCAGCAACGCCGCGUGAGUGAGGAAGGUUUUCGGACCGUAAAGCUCUGUCGAGCGGGAAGAAAUGUAUCAUGGCUAAUAUCCAUGAUACUUGACGGUACCGCUAAAGG